rnacentral:rRNA from 1 species
GAAUAUUGGUCAAUGGGGGCAACCCUGAACCAGCCAAGUCGCGUGAAGGAUGAAGGUCUUAUGGAUUGUAAACUUCUUUUACACGGGAAUAAAGUGGGGGACGUGUCCCCCUUUGCAUGUACCGUGUGAAUAAGGAUCGGCUAACUCCGUGCCAGCAGCCGCGGUAAUACGGAGGAUCCGAGCGUUAUCCGGAUUUAUUGGGUUUAAAGGGUGCGCAGGCGGGAUGUUAAGUCGGCGGUGAAAUUUUGCAGCUCAACUGUAAAAGUGCCUUCGAUACUGGCUUCCUUGAGUGUAGAUGAAGUAGGCGGAAUUUGUGGUGUAGCGGUGAAAUGCUUAGAUAUCACGAGGAACUCCGAUUGCGCAGGCAGCUUACUAAACUACAACUGACGCUCAUGCACGAAGGCGUGGGGAUCA